GCGUGUAUUGCUUAUAAAAGAAAAUGUAGUAUACUAGUAUUGAUUUUAGUUUCAUUAGUACUAAGACCGAGUUUAUCGUGCCUAAGGAAAAUAUCUCAAAUCAACAUACUCUGCCGCAGACCACCAUCACAAACCACUGUCUCCACUCACCAACACUCUUCUUCUUCCCUUCGUUCGUUACUCACAUCGCCUCAAAGCUCUGCCAUCUUCACCAUCGCUGACGAUGAAUACUUCAUCAUACCUGACGACUGCAACACGACCUUCAAGGUUGCUCCGCCACGAGCCCUGACUGUGGUCCCUCGCAAAGUGGCGCACUCACUCUCUUGCGUCGGCGAGGUCAAGACCGCGCUCCGCUAAGUACCAGAACGGGAUACUCUCCAAUUCCGUCAUUGUAAACAUGGAUGACAAGUCACUCUGACAGAAAGGAUAAUUUUGGAAAAAUAAGAAGAAAAAAAUUGAGUCAUUGAUUUAAAAUCAACUAAAUCUAACGGUUGUAAAAUAAUUAUAAAUAACUUUGGUACAUGCGAAAGUAGAUUUACUUUCUCUCUUUAGACUCCAUCUAGUACUACUACUAUUUAACAACAGUAGCCUUGUCCUUUCAUUCUA